rnacentral:rRNA from 1 species
GACGGAGGUGGCGAGCGUUACUCGGAUUCACUGGGCUUAGAGCGGGUGCAGGCGGUCCUGCAAGUCCGGAGUGAAAUCCCUCGGCUCAACCGAGGAAUUGCUUCGGAUACUGCGGGACUUGAGGCAGGUAGGGGCAAGUGGAACGUUUGGUGUAGCGGUGAAAUGCGUAGAUAUCAAACGGAACGCCGGUGGUGAAGACGGCUUGCUGGACCUGUCCUGACGCUCAGACCCGAAAGCGUGGGGAGUGAACCGG